rnacentral:lncRNA from 1 species
UGUUCAUUCAUCCUGAAACUUUUGGAUUCAGCAGGAAAAAGCUUUCCAUACUUAAGUGUGAAUCUGCUCUGAAGGAUAGGUAGCCAUGCUGUGAAUGUGAGCGCUGCUUAUUUCUACUGUGAGGAGUAAAAAUGCAUCAGCAAUAUGUAGUCUAAUUGGAGGGAAAAGGAAUUUGCUAGAGCUGAGCUUAUUUCUUUCAAGACUACAGUGAUCUGGAUAAUGGUCUCUGUGUCCACGUGCUCUCCCUGUGACCUGGCUGUAUAGGCAUAUAUGAUGUUUCAUGCAGCAUUUCCUGAUCUCUGCAAUUUCACACRUGUUCCCAGUCAUCUCCCUGCCCAGUUCUGCAGUUGAGAAAGGAGCUCAUGUUGUCAGUCAUGAUUUUGUUUUUCCUGRGGUCUGGGAAAAACAAUCCUUUGGUGAUGUGAGCUGUUUCCGUCAGUUUCUGGAGAAGGUGAGCAACACCCGAAAAGCGAGGACAGACUGUGGAGAGAAGGUGUCCCCAGAACCAGUUCACAAGUGGGCAAACUGCACAAUAUCAGAACCAAAUCAAGGUAAGUAACU